GCUUACGGCCACACCGGCCUGAGUACACCUGAUCUCGUCCGAUCUCGGAAGCUAAGCAGGGUCGGGCCUGGUUAGUAUUUGGAUGGGAGACCGCCUGGGAAUACCAGGUGCUGUAAGCU
rnacentral:rRNA from 1 species